rnacentral:rRNA from 1 species
UACGGAGGGUGCAAGCGUUAUCCGGAUUCACUGGGUUUAAAGGGUGCGUAGGCGGGUUGGUAAGUCCGUGGUGAAAUCCCCAAGCUUAACUUGGGAACUGCCGUGGAUACUAUCAAUCUUGAAUAUCGUGGAGGUAAGCGGAAUAUGUCAUGUAGCGGUGAAAUGCUUAGAUAUGACAUAGAACACCAAUUGCGAAGGCAGCUGGCUACACAAAUAUUGACACUGAGGCACGAAAGCGUGGGGGAUCAAACAGG